UACGGGGGGAGCAAGCGUUAUUCGGAUUUACUGGGCGUAAAGGGCGCGUAGGCGGCCAGCACAAGUCAGUUGUGAAAUCUCCGAGCUUAACUCGGAAAGGUCAACUGAUACUGUGCGGCUAGAGUGCGGAAGGGGCAACUGGAAUUCUUGGUGUAGCGGUGAAAUGCGUAGAUAUCAAGAGGAACACCUGCGGCGAAGGCGGGUUGCUGGGCCGACACUGACGCUGAGGCGCGAAAGCCAGGGGAGCGAACGGG
rnacentral:rRNA from 1 species